CUGCGUGUACGAUCGUUCUCCUUCUUCUUUGUCUAAUCGUAAGCGUGAUAAAUCAAAAUCUUAUACGUGCAAGUGCAUAGCAGGCGCUAGCCCAUUGAGUGUACAUUGAGUAUAAUUUUAAUAAAAGUUCAAGUUGCAUUUCUA
rnacentral:lncRNA from 13 species